rnacentral:rRNA from 1 species
GAUGAACGCUGGCGGCGUGCCUAACACAUGCAAGUCGAACGGAGUUUAUGUAGGAAGUUUUCGGAUGGAAUGUAUAAACUUAGUGGCGGACGGGUGAGUAACGCGUAAGUAAUCAACCUAAAACACACGGAUAACUAAGAGAAAUUUUAGCUAAUACGAGAUGAACUUUGAUAGUAGGGAUAUUAUCAAAGCAAAGCUGAGGCGGUUUUAGACGAGCUUGCGUCUGAUUAGCUAGUUGGUAAGGUAAGAGCUUACCAAGGCGACGAUCAGUAGCCGGCCUGAGAGGGCGAACGGCCACAUUGGGACUGAGACACGGCCCAAACUCCUACGGGAGGCAGCAGUGGGGGAUAUUGCACAAUGGGGGGAACCCUGAUGCAGCAACGCCGCGUGAGUGAAGAAGGCUUUCGAGUCGUAAAGCUCUGUCGUAUGAGAAGAAUAAAUGACUGUAUCAUACAAGAAAGCCCCGGCUAACUACGUGCCAGCAGCCGCGGUAAUACGUAGGGGGCAAGCGUUAUCCGGAAUUACUGGGCGUAAAGGGUGCGUAGGCGGCUUAGUAAGUCAAGAUUUAAAGGCAGCAGCUCAACUGCUGUUCGGUCUUGAAACUAUUGAGCUUGAGUAUAGGAGAGGAAAGUGGAAUUCCCAGUGUAGCGGUGAAAUGCGUAGAUAUUGGGAGGAAUACCGGUGGCGAAGGCGACUUUCUGGACUAUAACUGACGCUGAGGCACGAAAGCGUGGGUAGCAAACAGG